GCCAAAAUUCUAGCCCAAUCUACACCAAUGAACCCACAAAACCCAACCCCAGAAACCAAAACAUUCUCACAUUUUAGUAAAGGAGAUUGAAAAAUUAGCCGGAGCAAUAAAAAUAGUACCGCAAGGGAAAGAUGAAAUAGCAAUGAAACAACCCUAAAGCACAAAAAAGUAGAGAUGCCCCCUCGUACCUUUUGCAUCAUGGUUUAACUAGUCUAAUCAAGCAAAAAGCAUUACAGUUUGACCUCCCGAAACUAGGCGAGCUACUUCAAAGCAGCUUUAUGAGCGAACCCGUCUCUGUAGCAAAAGAGUGGGAUGACUUUCAAGUAGGGGUGACAGACCUAACGAGCCCAGUGAUAGCUGGUUACUCAAGAAAAGGAUUUAAGUCCAACCUAAAGCCCACGCAAUUCACAAAAAUGCCCUUUAGACUUUAGAGCAAUUCAAAUAAGGUACAGCCUAUUUGACACAGGAUACAACCUCCACUGACGGGUAAAAACAUUAAAUAACUCAACCCAGUAGGCCUAAAAGCAGCCACCUCUACAAAAGCGUCAAAGCUUAAUUGACACAACAAAUCAAUACCUAAACCUCCAUUAAACCCUCUACCAUUAUUGAGUAAUUCUAUAUAACUAUAGAACCUAUUAUGUUAAAACUAGUAACAAGAAGAACAACCUUCUCUUAAGUGCAAGUGUACAUCAGAAAGGAACGCCCACUGAUAUUUAACACCCAUGAACACCAAUUAGUAACUCCCUACAAGAAAACCCUAAUGACACUUGCGUUAACCUAACACAAGAGCACUUCAAGAAAGAUUUUAAAAAAAAGAAGGAACUCGGCAAAUAUAUACCCCGCCUGUUUACCAAAAACAUCGCCUCUUGUAAUAAAUAUAAGAGGUCCAGCCUGCCCAGUGACACUUUGUUCAACGGCCGCGGUAUCCUAACCGUGCGAAGGUAGCGUAAUCACUUGUUCUUUAAAUGAGGACUAGAAUGAACGGCACUACGAGGGUUACACUGUCUCCUUUUUUCAAUCAGUUAAACUAAUCUCCCCGUGAAGAAGCGGGGAUAAGCCUAUAAGACGAGAAGACCCUAUGGAGCUUUAAAUUUUGUUACAACUGCUAUCCUACCCUUUAAGUCCAAGACUUCUCACAUUACUAGCAUCCUGAUAAUAAAUUUUAGGUUGGGGUGACCGCGGAGUAUAAUACAACCUCCACAUUGACACAGGCCUAACGCCUUGAACCAAGAGCCACGACUCUAAGAAAUAACAAAUUAACAUUUAUUGACCCAAUACACUUGAUCAACGAACCAAGUUACCCUAGGGAUAACAGCGCAAUCCACUUUAAGAGCCCCUAUCGACAAGUGGGUUUACGACCUCGAUGUUGGAUCAGGGUGUCCCAGUGGUGCAGCCGCUACUAAAGGUUCGUUUGUUCAACGAUUAAAACCCU
rnacentral:rRNA from 1 species